rnacentral:misc_RNA from 1 species
GUAAUUGAAAGGUUUGUAUAACUACUCAACUAAGGCGAACUCGACCUUCAUAUACAGAACACAAUGUACUUCAAGUUAUGAAACAAAGUUGACCUUCUUCUUCCUAAGUAGAAACAAUAUACUAAGUUACAAAACAAAGUAAGUGCUGUACACCACAUACACUAUUUGAUAAUAAGAGUAAGCUACUAUAAGGUGGAGACUGAUAAGUUCUUAUUCUCAAAUCAUAACUAAGGUUAAUAUGGAUCUAUUCGGGUUUGAACUAUCUGAGGUGAGGGUCUUCCUGAUUAUCUUCAUUGGGACUGCAAUUUUGAUGCGUGUGGUGAUGUACUUCCUUUGGGCAAGGACCCUACCCCCGGGACCCAUGGGACUACCCAUCAUCGGGAAUCUUCAUCAGCUCGGGAAAAAUCCUCACAAAACAAUGGCAUCCUUUGCAAGAAAAUAUGGCAAUGUUUAUAUGAUUCAUUUUGGAAGUCGUCCAACAGUUGUAUUAAGUGAUUAUGAAACUGUACGGGAAGCUAUGAUCAAACAUGGCGAUGAUUUCGCCGGACGUCCUGAUUUUCAAUCAUUUCAAUACAUCAACGAAGGAAAAGGUGUUGCUUUUUCACCUCACUACGAUGCAAGAUGGAAACUAUUGAGAAAGAUUAUGGUUAACGCAGCUAGACUUUUGGUCAAUGAUAAGAAGCGUCCAAUAGAUGCCAACAUCCUAGAUGAAUGUGACACUCUUAUCAAAGAACUACUAUCUACCAAUGGACAACCAAUUGAUCCUAGGAUCCCCAUAAAGAUGUGUGUAGGAAGUAUUAUUUUUACAUUGGUGUUUGGUGAAUCUAUAGCAAGUAGAGAAGAUCAAGAUUUCAAAGACAUGAUUGAAAGUUCUAGAAAAUUCACAGCUUUUCAAGCAAGUGGUGGCAAUAUAGCUGACAUCAUGCCUUGGACAAAGAUUUUCACCAAGAAAAGAUUACAAGAGUUUAUUGAGCUUAUUGAUGAAAACCAGAAACUUCAUCAACGGAAACACAAGGAACAUGUCUUAACAUACAAUCAAGAGGAUCUAAGAGAUAUCACUGAUGCACUCAUUAAAGCAAGUCGGGAUGUAAGAAAGAUUGAAAAUAUGGUAGAUUUAGAUGAGCGAUUCAUCCUUACUCUUACAGGAGAGUUUAUUGGAGCUGGGUUUAACACAGUGUCUACUUUCAUGCAUUGGGCUGUCCUUUAUAUGGCUUCUUAUCCAAAGAUACAGAGUAAAGUACAUGCAGAGAUUUCAGCUGUCAUUGGUGAUGGCCGCCAACCUCAAAUUGGGGACAAAAUUAAUAUGAAAUAUACAGAGGCUUGUAUUUUGGAAAUCAAUCGCAAAUCCUCUUUAACUCCCAUGGCACUGCCCCAUGCUACUACAUGUGAUACAACACUGAAUGGUUACACAAUACCUGCUAAGACCCUGACCUUCAUCAAUCUAUGGGCCCUUCACCAUGAUGAGACCACAUGGGGCGACCCUGAAAACUUCAGACCAGAGAGAUUCCUUGACAAAGAUGGCGAAAUCAUCCAGGAACUUGCAGAAAAAGUUGUAGCAUUUGGUCUUGGACGACGUCGAUGCUUGGGAGAAUUUAUAGCAAAACUUGAACUAUUUUUGCUUCUUACACGUACAUUGCAAAGAUGUGAGUUUGCAAUUCCAGAAGGUGUUACUCCUAAUAUGGAAGGGGUCUAUGGACUUGCUCUAGAUCCUGCACCAUUUGAUGUCACAAUUACACCAAGGGAUUAGUAAGAUAGAGCACUUGUAAAAAGACCUAUCAAAUGUAUGUGAAACCAUUGCUUAAACCGCCUUCACACCAAACUAGUUCUCACUAUUUCAGAACAUGCUCAAACUGUGUUGAAGCAUAUUUGAUGAAGCUAUACAGUUAAUAACCUUAUGGAUGUGGAAGUUGGGAAAGUGCUCUAAAACAUACUGACAACAUAUUUUAAAGUAGCGAGAUCAAUAGUGCAAAAGAAAGUUCAUUCAUGGAACGAAGCAUGAAACUUUCUAUUUUUAUCAGGACAGGAUUGUAUUUGAUUUAAGAGCCACAUUCAUUUUGUAGUUCACUAUAGAUAAAGCAAGAUGGCCAUACUAUAACUGGAAUUAUACUUCAACCUUGCAAAGUACGGUCUGAUAUCAACUGUAGUAUGGACACUUUUAGAAAUAGUUUGAUCGUUUUUUGACU